GAAGCAGGUUUGAAUACGUUUAUUGUUCCUCAGUGCGUAAUUGACUGUGUUAUCAAUAGAGAGUGAUACAUUAUACAGUGACACAUAAAAGUGCGUCAUUUUGUAACGACUAAAAUGGAUUUACAAGGGCAUUUUGAACGUCCAGAAAUUAUCAACAACCCUAUAUACCAACUUUUAUUAAAUUCAGCUGAUGGCAAAAGUGUUUUAAAAUAUUAUCGAGAUAAUGGAUGCUUGAAGAAAACCUUAAGAAAUUUACUCAGCAGACUUAUACUCAGCCCUGAAAAAGAUAGACAAUUAGAAACAGUUCUCCAAGUGCCAUAAAGAUGCUCCUAUUUUUUACAAAGUAGAUAAUAUUAUAGUUUGUAGCAAUAUUAAAGUAUGUCUUAUUGUUAAAAAAUUAAUAAGUACAUUCCUCUACGAAAAAACUGAAUGUUAUCGAUUGUACAACGAUCAGUAUACGUGGGAUGUACUAAAUUUGGAUGACCUAUUUAGCUUUAAGAUUACAAAUCUUGUAAGAGCAUCUAAUGGUGCGAAAUUUAUUCUCAAAAAUUGGUUUUAAUUUAAAUAAAGAUAUAUUUAAUAAUUCAUAAAA
rnacentral:lncRNA from 1 species